rnacentral:lncRNA from 1 species
AGCCCCCUCGGCGCAGGAGGGGCCGAUGUGACGGGGGGCGGUGCUCGCCCCCCCAUCCCCAUCGCGCUGCCCGUCCCUGCCCGUCCCUGCCCGUCCCUGCCCGCGGCCCCGCUCCCGGCAUGCCCCGCGCCGCCGCGCUCUAUAUAUAGCGGUUGGUUGCGGGCAGGAGCGCAGGCAGCUGCCGCCUGCCCGGCCCCGGCCCAGAGCCUGAAGUGCUCCUGUGCCUGGACCACGGCAGCAUGUCGGCAGAAAAACUCAAGCACCACAAAAUCAUCUUCGUGGUGGGUAAGUCUGUGUCUGGGUCCUGUCGCUGGUCGGGUCAAGGCCACAGCCCAGCCCUUCCCCCUGCACCUCUGGGGUGGGGGCUGCGGGGAGCAGCCGGUGCCCAGGGCUGAGGAGCUGGCGCUGGGGGCUGAGGGACCUUGGCUGUCCCCAGGCACUGCGGGGUGACCAUGGCUCCAGCCCAGCAGCUUGAGGUGGGGUGUGCUGGGACCAGGGGGGCACCUCUGGCCGGGCAUGGGGUGACAGUCUCUGGGGUGAUGUGACACCUGGGGGGUGAUGUCCUGGGUGCCAUC